rnacentral:rRNA from 1 species
GACGUAGGGUCCAAGCGUUGUCCGGAUUUACUGGGCGUAAAGAGCACGUAGGCGGCUUGUUAAGUGUGAAGUGAAAUCUCCAGAGCUCAACUCGGAAACCGCUUCGCAUACUGGCAAGCUAGAGGAAUGCAGAGGUAAGUGGAAUUCCUGGUGUAGCGGUGAAAUGCAUAGAUAUCAGGAGGAACACCCAUGGCGAAGGCAGCUUACUGGGCAUUAUCUGACGCUGAGGUGCGAAAGCGUGGGGAGCAAACAGG